ACGGAGGGGGCUAGCGUUGUUCGGAAUUACUGGGCGUAAAGGGUGCGUAGGCGGUUCGUUAAGUCUGUCGUGAAAUCCCCGGGCUCAACCUGGGAAUGGCGAUGGAUACUGGCGAGCUAGAGUGUGUCAGAGGAUGGUGGAAUUCCCGGUGUAGCGGUGAAAUGCGUAGAGAUCGGGAGGAACAUCAGUGGCGAAGGCGGGUCUCUGGGCAGUAACUGACGCUGAGGAGCGAAAGCGUGGGGAGCGAACAGGA
rnacentral:rRNA from 1 species